CCUACGGGAGGCAGCAGUGAGGAAUAUUGGUCAAUGGACGCAACUCUGAACCAGCCAAGUAGCGUGCAGGAUGACUGCCCUAUGGGUUGUAAACUUCUUUUAUAUGGGAGUAAAACAGGGUAUGCGUACCCUCUUGUAUGUACCAUAUGAAUAAGGAUCGGCUAAUUCCGUGCCAGCAGCCGCGGUAAUACGGAGGAUCCGAGCGUUAUCCGGAUUUAUUGGGUUUAAAGGGAGCGUAGGUGGAUCGUUAAGUCAGUUGUGAAAUUGUGCGGCUCAACCGUGGCAUUGCAGUUGCAACUGGCAGUCUUGAGUGCAGUAGAGGUGGGCGGAAUUCGUGGUGUAGCGGUGAAAUGCUUAGAUAUCACGAAGAACUCCGAUUGCGAAGGCAGCUAACCG
rnacentral:rRNA from 1 species